UGCUAAGCAACUCCUAUCCCUACCUCCUCGUAGUAUUGGCCGGAGUACGAGCGACCUUAGGGAAGA
rnacentral:ribozyme from 1 species